UGCACCCGUCUUCUGAUCGUGACUUAGCCCCGUUUGCUGUUUUCCAUGUAUUUAUAGCAGAUAUCUCAUGCUUCUAUCUGUGCCUUUCACUUCUGACCUCUGACUAAAGAAAAAUUUUUUUUUCUGAUCUGUGUUUCAGUCUCACCAGCGAUUUAUGGAGUUGGCUCUUGGGCCACACUGACUUUAAACACUGAUGACUCAUUUAAACUCUAGUCAUAGGCUGAAAACAGAAGUUGAAUGAAAAGCACAACCUCCUCCAGACUGCCUUCUGGUUUUACAAAGUGCUUCAGUUUUUACAUUGAAAGGCCAGACAUGAUCACACUGGAACACCAGUUGUCCAGCUACAGAAGUUCUGACUUUCCGGGCAAGUCUUUUGAACUUUUAACUUGGUGAAAAUAGAGUCGUUGGCUUGCAUGCAGAAGUUGUCUUCUGGAAGUGAUCCAGGGCUUAGAGUAGUCAAUCCUGCCAUUUUCUCCAUCUUUCCAAGAUGUCACCACUGGAGCUCUGUCCACAACAGGGUUGAUUUGAGCAGCGAUGAUGUCCAGUGAAACAGGAAGUUCAGAGCUGAGAUUGAGCAAAACUGACAGGGAAGUCAAUUCACUGUCCCAAAUUGAUCAGAUUGGCUGGCAACUUGGGGAUUGUAGCCCAGCCAAAGCAGUUUGCCUUCUUGGUUCAUUCUGACAAACUAUAAAUUCUCCAAAACUGCUGGUAAGCUCGUGAAACCAAUUCGUUUUUGUUGCCAAUAUUAACAACUUUUUUUUGGAUUACUAAAGGAGACGACAUACUAAUCAACAGUCCAACACCAUCAAACUCUUCUGGCAGAUAUAAUAAAACCCUUUUUACAACGACUGAUGAUG